GGGAAGGUGGCUCAGUGGUAGAGUGCUUGUCUUGCAUCCAUGAGGCCCUGGGUUCGAUUCCUCAGACCCA
rfam:Dipodomys ordii contig_21677, whole genome shotgun sequence.